AUGACCAAACCGAAGAGAUCGGGAGGUAUUGGCUUUAGAGACAUGCACCUUUUCAAUAUCGCGUUACUUGCAAAGCAGGUUUGGAGGCUCAUUCAGUACCCAAACAGUUUAUGCGCUAGGGUCCUAAAGUCUAAAUAUUACCCCCAUGGAAACUUGUUAGACACCGUUUUUGCUUCUGAUGCAUCACCGGUUUGGAGGGGAAUUGAAGCUGGUUUGGAGCUCCUGAAAAAAGGCAUUAUAUGGCGAGUCGGAGACGGCAAAAGCAUCCAAAUCCAGCGAGACCAAUGGAUUCCAAGACAGGAAGGGCUAAGAACUACAGCUUUUGUUAGAAGAUCGAGACUCCGUUGGGUAAACCAACUUAUGCAUACAGAAAGAAAGGAGUGGAAUGAGGAGCUAGUGAAACAAAUUUUCCACUCUUUUGAUGCGGAGGAGAUAUGCAAAAUUCCCAUUCCGAGGUCGGCGGUAGAGGAUUGUAUUGCAUGGCACUACGAGAAAAAUGGUAUUUUCUCUGUUCGGAGC
rnacentral:rRNA from 1 species